rfam:Picea glauca, whole genome shotgun sequence.
GGGUGUGAUCAUACCAACAUUAAUGCACUGGUUCCCAUCAGAACUCCAUAGUUAAGGGCACUUGGGCUCCGUGGGGAGGGAACUGCCGCGUCGAUGGAUCGGGUGCUUUUAGUGGCCCCCCUCC